UACGUAGGGUGCAAGCGUUGUCCGGAAUUAUUGGGCGUAAAGGGCGCGUAGGCGGCUUGACAAGUCCAAGGUGAAAUCCCUCGGCUCAACCGAGGAACUGCCUUGGAAACUGUCUGGCUUGAGGCGGGAGCAGGGUAGGUGGAGUACCUCAGUGUAGCGGUGAAAUGCGUAGAUAUUGGGAGGAACACCGGUGGCGAAGGCGGCUACCUGGACAGAUACUGACGCUGAGACUCGAAAGCGUGGGGAGCAAACAGG
rnacentral:rRNA from 1 species